UAUGGGAACCACCAUUAUUUAUUACCCCCUAUCAAGCACUUUGAUAAGCUCAAAAUAUGUGACUUUAAUCGAAGACUUAAGGUUUCAAAUCUUAAACAUGCAGCUCUUAGGGGUUGAUACACUGGACAAAAGCUUUUUUAAGUGGGUUGAUUGCUUACCCAAUAUGGUAUCUGAUGGUUACCAGUAUUUAGAGCUUAAAAAGGAAAUUGAGAAUUUACCAAUGUUACAAAAUAAUCUUAAGACAAAAGAAAAUGGUGAACUUCUUGAUAGUGAAAUAGAGUAUGUGAUCUUACAAAAGGCAGACUUUAUGGAAUUUCAGAUGUAGGUGAUAAAGCAGAAUGUAAAGUGAGAGAGGUUUUAAAAGAGACAUUUUUCACACAUUUCCCUGCAAGAGAUUUGGUCUCCUUAAAAUUUUUCUAUGUGUAACUGGUAAAAUAUCCCGAUCCUUUACUUUCCUAAACCAAACCAAGGAUGGCUGUUGUCCCUGCUCCCAUCACAUUGGGCAGGCAUUGCUCAUUCAGUUCCAACUGGAGAAGGGCCUCUGCUUCUCAGCCCAUCAUGGUUUUGUUGCCCAAGUGCUUGUGAUCUGUAGAAGGCUCUGCUCCAGGCAUCUGUGGCCAAGCUUGUGGGUCUUUGCUGUAGCACCAGCACCAAGCAUCCCUGGACACAGCACCAUCCUCACUGAAGUUACCCCUUCUUCGUUGAGGCCACUUACUGUAGGAGAACCAGACACAGUAUUACUGCUCGACCACCUAUUCCAGGUACAGUGAUUGGCCUGAGUUUAGGAAAAGGUCAGAGAAGCUCCAUCAGUAAUUACGUGCAUCACUUACCAAACCCCUGCUUCCACCAGGACUCAUGGAUAUGAGGAAAUCAGGGAGGCACCUAGAUUCUCCUAAGCUUACCUGAUGAGUCACUCGGGGGUGCUUCCACAAAGUGCAUCUCCAUUUUCUUGUUCCAACUUCUCAGAAUCAGAGUUACCUGUAGAGGGGCCUAGGAAGAUGUAUUUCCCACCAGAAAAGUUUAGGAAACAAUUGAUUGCAGUGCUUCUGAACUCUGCCAUGCAUCCAAAUCCCUGGGGCUUGUUAGAACAGAGGCCUGGGCCCCAUCCCCAGAGAUUCUGGGAUGGAGCCAGGGAAUUCCUAUUUCUAGUAAGUUCCCUACUGAUGUGGCUGCUGUUCCCUGGACCGCACCUGGAGUCACGCUGCUCCACUCAGUACACUUCUGCAGGAGCCAGCAGCUUCUGGAUUGUUAGGCCCUGCUUCUGGUGCUGAGAGUGAUGACAAAAUAGAGAGGUGUUGGUCAGUUAUUCCACCCAGCUGAUUUCCUCUUUGUGUUCACAUGCUGAAGAGAACUUCCUAUGGAGAACGAUGGCUUGAGAAGAUCCAGGCAUUUCAUUGUAGACCUGAGAAGUCCCACUUCAGUGGCCAACGGUGGCUGCUUAUCGCACCCUUGAGAGUCAGCGAGCUUUCCAUGUGGUUCUCAGACUGAGAGUCAAAAUCCCACAGCCAGCCAAGGAGGCUUCACUAUGGAUGUCAAAGCAAUGUGAAUGGAAUCUUCACUGCCUCCCUCUGCCCUAUUCUUUGACUUCUCUCCAGGAGUAUAUGGCCAUCAUUGAACCAAAUGUGUGCCUCAUGGGCCAUGAAGAGACUCCUGCCCUCUAAGGAGAAGCAUGCUGUGGUUCUUCAGCAUCGAGGGGGUAGCCAUUAUACCCAAUUCUGUGUAUGUCCUUCCACCCACUGAGGCUCCUGCCUAACAUGAGCCAACCUUCUCACACACAACUACAAAGACUAUCUCUCUGUCCUGGAGGCAGCAAACUGCAGUCCAGCUAGUGCAUGCAUGCAGAGGACCGGAUCAACAAAACCUCGGUGAUUGCCCCACGGUGUGUGUGGUCAUUUCCAAGCCUCACUCAGAAAGAAGGCAGAACCAAGCUGACACAGGAGGUUCUCCCUCCCCUGAUAUGGGGGUAGACUUAAGAAGUUGAACUCCAUGUCCGUGGGGCUAAUAAAUCAAAGUUGGGAAUGGGAUGAGCAUUUAAUAAAGACACAGAAUCCAAAUGGUGAUGACUUCCUUUCCAAUUAUAAAUGAAAACCUGGGAGAAUGACUCAAGCUGGCUGUAUAUAUACAGCUGUCUGGAAUUGUUUUAUUAAUUACCUAUAGACACUUGAAUAUGAUACCAUAUAUUAGUAAUAUUAGUAUAUGUAAAAUACAUAUGUAAAGAAGCAGUUUAUAAGAUACAACCUUGGACUUAAAAAUAUGUAUAAUCCAAUAGUCUAUGGAAUCUGCAACUUAGCCAA